rnacentral:ribozyme from 14 species
GUAACGAAAAAGAAAGAAGGAAACACACAAACGAAAUGGACACUUUUGUUUCUUUUUCCUCGUCCAGUCGUUUUCACUUUCCACUUUGAUAAUUGUUUACCAAAGAUCCGAUCAAGACCAAGGUGUAAUGCAUGCGAGGGUUUGGAGAUUGGAGAGGUCGUGGCUUGGGUAUUUUUCUCAUGAACCAUCAAGAAAAAAAAAAAAAGG